AUAAAACUCAAGUUACUGAGAACAAAGUAGCAGGUUGCAGCUGUUCCUCUGUGAUCUUCAUGCUGAGCACGAUGUUUGGUUCAGUCGUUGUGAUUCUUCUCGGUGUCCUGAUCUUCAUCCUGCUGAAGCACAGAAACACACAUGGAGGUGUUGAAGCAGAAAAUAAGGUUGCUGACUCUGAUAUGAUGCAUUACGCUGC